rnacentral:rRNA from 1 species
AUUGAACGCUGGCGGCAUGCCUUACACAUGCAAGUCGAACGGCAGCACGGGUGCUUGCACCUGGUGGCGAGUGGCGAACGGGUGAGUAAUACAUCGGAACAUGUCCUGUAGUGGGGGAUAGCCCGGCGAAAGCCGGAUUAAUACCGCAUACGAUCUACGGAUGAAAGCGGGGGACCUUCGGGCCUCGCGCUAUAGGGUUGGCCGAUGGCUGAUUAGCUAGUUGGUGGGGUAAAGGCCUACCAAGGCGACGAUCAGUAUAUGGUCUGGGAGGACGACCAGCCACACUGGGACUGAGACACGGCCCAGAAUCCUACGGGAGGCAGCAGUGGGGAAUUUUGGGCAAUGGGCGAAAGCCUGAUCCAGCAAUGCCGCGUGUGUGAAGAAGGCCUUCGGGUUGUAAAGCACUUUUGUCCGGAAAGAAAUCCUUGGCUCUAAUACAGUCGGGGGAUGACGGUACCGGAAGAAUAAGCACCGGCUAACUACGUG